rnacentral:rRNA from 1 species
UGCAGUCGACGGUGAACCAGGGCUUGCCCUGGGGAUCAGUGGCGAACGGGUGAGUAACACGUGGGCAACCUGCCCCUCACAUUGGGAUAACUUUGGGAAACCGAAGCUAAUACCGAAUACUCCUUUUCUUAGGCAUCUUUGAAAAGGGAAAGGUUUUCUGGUGAGGGAUGGGCCCGCGGCCUAUCAGCUUGUUGGUGAGGUAAUGGCUCACCAAGGCAACGACGGGUAGCCGGCCUGAGAGGGCGAUCGGCCACACUGGGACUGAGACACGGCCCAGACUCCUACGGGAGGCAGCAGUGGGGAAUAUUGCGCAAUGGGCGAAAGCCUGACGCAGCAACGCCGCGUGCGGGAUGACGGCCUUCGGGUUGUAAACCGCUUUCAGCAGGGAAGAAGCCGCAAGGUGACGGUACCUGCAGAAGAAGCACCGGCUAACUACGUGCCAGCAGCCGCGGUAAUACGUAGGGUGCAAGCGUUGUCCGGAUUUAUUGGGCGUAAAGAGCUCGUAGGCGGUAUGUCGCGUCGGGUGUGAAAACCCAGGGCUCAACCCUGGGCCUGCAUCCGAUACGGGCACACUAGAGUGUGGUAGGGGAGACUGGAAUUCCUGGUGUAGCGGUGAAAUGCGCAGAUAUCAGGAGGAACACCAAUGGCGAAGGCAGGUCUCUGGGCCAUUACUGACGCUGAGGAGCGAAAGCGUGGGGAGCAAACAGGAUUAGAUACCCUGGUAGUCCACGCCGUAAACGGUGGGCGCUAGGUGUGGGGACCAUUCCACGGUUUCCGCGCCGCAGCUAACGCAUUAAGCGCCCCGCCUGGGGGAGUACGGCCGCAAGGCUAAAACUCAAAAGGAAUUGACGGGGGGCCCGCACAAGCGGGCGGAGCAUGCCGGCUUAAUUCCGAUGCAACGCCGAAGAACCUUUACCUUGGGCCUUUGACAUAUGGGGGAAAACUUGGCAGAA